UUGCUUCUUACUGUCUUUGAGGCUCGGGACCAGCAGUCCUGUUGUUGGAUAGAAAGACAUCAACUCAGUGACUUGAGAUAUGGCUGCACUAUGCUGUUUCUGGUGACUCCAGUUAAUUCUACAAGACAUGCUGUGACACCAGGAGAGAUGAGUCCUCCGUCACAGAUGGUGUGGUCAGUGAAGAUGGUCGCCUGCAGGUUCAAGCUCAUUGCAUCUCCAAUCCACAUCCACUGCCACUGUACUUAAACCUGUUAGCAGUCGGACGUACCGCCCACGGUACAUUGGAUGGUUUAGGGGACUAAUUGGACUGCUAAGGGGUUUAAGGGAAGUUAAAGACUUUCUUCUGCACUUACAUUUGGAUCACCUCGAUCCAUGAUAGUCAUUCAGGCAGUAAUGCCUGGACUGGAAACAAGCAAUCCUUAAAAUAAUACAACAUUCCAGCUCCUGUGUUGGAAUGCAAAACAAAUGUGUUGUUUAAAUUAGAGACUGCACUUGUGACAGAACAACAAAUAUUUUAUUUUUAUUAUACAAGUAAUGUAAGUACAAAACAAACUUGUG